rnacentral:rRNA from 1 species
UACGUAGGGAGCAAGCGUUGUCCGGAAUCACUGGGCGUAAAGCGCACGUAGGCGGAUCUUUAAGUCAGGGGUGAAAUCCUGGAGCUCAACUCCAGAACUGCCUUUGAUACUGGGGAUCUCGAGUCCGGGAGAGGUGAGUGGAACUCCGAGUGUAGAAGUGAAAUUCGUAGAUAUUCGGAAGAACACCAGUGGCGAAGGCGGCUCACUGGCCCGAUACUGACGCUGAGGUGCGAAAGCGUGGGGAGCAAACAGG